UUAAGCGACUAAGCGUACACGGUGGAUGCCCUGGCAGUCAGAGGCGAUGAAGGACGUGCUAAUCUGCGAAAAGCGUCGGUAAGGUGAUAUGAACCGUUAUAACCGGCGAUGUCCGAAUGGGGAAACCCAGUGCAAUUCGUUGCACUAUCGUUAACUGAAUACAUAGGUUAACGAGGCGAACCGGGGGAACUGAAACAUCUAAGUACCCCGAGGAAAAGAAAUCAACCGAGAUUCCCCCAGUAGCGGCGAGCGAACGGGGAGCAGCCCAGAGUCUGAAUCAGCUUGUGUGUUAGUGGAACGGUCUGGAAAGUCCGACGGUACAGGGUGAUAGUCCCGUACACCAAAAUGCACAGGUUGUGAACUCGAAGAGUAGGGCGGGACACGUGGUAUCCUGUCUGAAUAUGGGGGGACCAUCCUCCAAGGCUAAAUACUCCUGACUGACCGAUAGUGAACCAGUACCGUGAGGGAAAGGCGAAAAGAACCCCGGCGAGGGGAGUGAAAAAGAACCUGAAACCGUGUACGUACAAGCAGUGGGAGCACCUUCGGGUGUGACUGCGUACCUUUUGUAUAAUGGGUCAGCGACUUAUAUUCUGUAGCAAGGUUAACCGUAUAGGGGAGCCGCAGGGAAACCGAGUCUUAACUGGGCGUUAAGUUGCAGGGUAUAGACCCGAAACCCGGUGAUCUAGCCAUGGGCAGGUUGAAGGUUGGGUAACACUAACUGGAGGACCGAACCGACUAAUGUUGAAAAAUUAGCGGAUGACUUGUGGCUGGGGGUGAAAGGCCAAUCAAACCGGGAGAUAGCUGGUUCUCCCCGAAAGCUAUUUAGGUAGCGCCUCGUGAACUCAUCUUCGGGGGUAGAGCACUGUUUCGGCUAGGGGGUCAUCCCGACUUACCAACCCGAUGCAAACUACGAAUACCGAAGAAUGUUAUCACGGGAGACACACGGCGGGUGCUAACGUCCGUCGUGAAGAGGGAAACAACCCAGACCGCCAGCUAAGGUCCCAAAGUCAUGGUUAAGUGGGAAACGAUGUGGGAAGGCACAGACAGCCAGGAUGUUGGCUUAGAAGCAGCCAUCAUUUAAAGAAAGCGUAAUAGCUCACUGGUCGAGUCGGCCUGCGCGGAAGAUGUAACGGGGCUAAACCAUGCACCGAAGCUGCGGCAGCGACACUAUGUGUUGUUGGGUAGGGGAGCGUUCUGUAAGCCUGCGAAGGUGUGCUGUGAGGCAUGCUGGAGGUAUCAGAAGUGCGAAUGCUGACAUAAGUAACGAUAAAGCGGGUGAAAAGCCCGCUCGCCGGAAGACCAAGGGUUCCUGUCCAACGUUAAUCGGGGCAGGGUGAGUCGACCCCUAAGGCGAGGCCGAAAGGCGUAGUCGAUGGGAAACAGGUUAAUAUUCCUGUACUUGGUGUUACUGCGAAGGGGGGACGGAGAAGGCUAUGUUAGCCGGGCGACGGUUGUCCCGGUUUAAGCAUGUAGGCUGGUUAUCCAGGCAAAUCCGGAUAAUCAAGGCUGAGGUGUGAUGACGAGGCACUACGGUGCUGAAGUAACAAAUGCCCUGCUUCCAGGAAAAGCCUCUAAGCAUCAGGUAACAUCAAAUCGUACCCCAAACCGACACAGGUGGUCAGGUAGAGAAUACCAAGGCGCUUGAGAGAACUCGGGUGAAGGAACUAGGCAAAAUGGUGCCGUAACUUCGGGAGAAGGCACGCUGGUGUGUAGGUGAAGUCCCUGCGGAUGGAGCUGAGACCAGUCGAAGAUACCAGCUGGCUGCAACUGUUUAUUAAAAACACAGCACUGUGCAAACACGAAAGUGGACGUAUACGGUGUGACGCCUGCCCGGUGCCGGAAGGUUAAUUGAUGGGGUUAUCCGUAAGGAGAAGCUCUUGAUCGAAGCCCCGGUAAACGGCGGCCGUAACUAUAACGGUCCUAAGGUAGCGAAAUUCCUUGUCGGGUAAGUUCCGACCUGCACGAAUGGCGUAAUGAUGGCCAGGCUGUCUCCACCCGAGACUCAGUGAAAUUGAACUCGCUGUGAAGAUGCAGUGUACCCGCGGCAAGACGGAAAGACCCCGUGAACCUUUACUAUAGCUUGACACUGAACAUUGAGCCUUGAUGUGUAGGAUAGGUGGGAGGCUUUGAAGCGUGGACGCCAGUCUGCGUGGAGCCAACCUUGAAAUACCACCCUUUAAUGUUUGAUGUUCUAACGUUGGCCCCUGACCGGGGUUGCGGACAGUGUCUGGUGGGUAGUUUGACUGGGGCGGUCUCCUCCCAAAGCGUAACGGAGGAGCACGAAGGUUAGCUAAUCCUGGUCGGACAUCAGGAGGUUAGUGCAAUGGCAUAAGCUAGCUUGACUGCGAGCGUGACGGCGCGAGCAGGUGCGAAAGCAGGUCAUAGUGAUCCGGUGGUUCUGAAUGGAAGGGCCAUCGCUCAACGGAUAAAAGGUACUCCGGGGAUAACAGGCUGAUACCGCCCAAGAGUUCAUAUCGACGGCGGUGUUUGGCACCUCGAUGUCGGCUCAUCACAUCCUGGGGCUGAAGUAGGUCCCAAGGGUAUGGCUGUUCGCCAUUUAAAGUGGUACGCGAGCUGGGUUUAGAACGUCGUGAGACAGUUCGGUCCCUAUCUGCCGUGGGCGCUGGAGAAUUGAGGGGGGCUGCUCCUAGUACGAGAGGACCGGAGUGGACGCAUCACUGGUGUUCGGGUUGUCAUGCCAAUGGCACUGCCCGGUAGCUAAAUGCGGAAGAGAUAAGUGCUGAAAGCAUCUAAGCACGAAACUUGCCCCGAGAUGAGUUCUCCCUGAGACUUUAAGUCUCCUGAAGGAACGUUGAAGACGACGACGUUGAUAGGCCGGGUGUGUAAGCGCAGCGAUGCGUUGAGCUAACCGGUACUAAUGAACCGUGAGGCUUAACCU
rnacentral:rRNA from 1 species